AUUGAACGCUGGCGGCAUGCUUUACACAUGCAAGUCGGACGGCAGCAUAAAAGAGCUUGCUCUUUUGAUGGCGAGUGGCGAACGGGUGAGUAAUGCAUCGGAACGUACCGAGUAGUGGGGGAUAACUGUCCGAAAGGAUGGCUAAUACCGCAUAUUCUCUGAGGAGGAAAGCAGGGGACCUUAGGGCCUUGCGCUAUUUGAGCGGCCGAUGUCUGAUUAGCUAGUUGGUGGGGUAAGAGCCCACCAAGGCGACGAUCAGUAGCGGGUCUGAGAGGAUGAUCCGCCACACUGGGACUGAGACACGGCCCAGACUCCUACGGGAGGCAGCAGUGGGGAAUUUUGGACAAUGGGCGCAAGCCUGAUCCAGCCAUGCCGCGUGUAUGAAGAAGGCCUUCGGGUUGUAAAGUACUUUUGUCAGGGAAGAAAAGCCUGAGGAUAACACCCUCAGGUCAUGACGGUACCUGAAGAAUAAGCACCGGCUAACUACGUGCCAGCAGCCGCGGUAAUACGUAGGGUGCGAGCGUUAAUCGGAAUUACUGGGCGUAAAGCGAGCGCAGACGGUUAUUUAAGCAAGAUGUGAAAGCCCCGGGCUCAACCUGGGAACUGCGUUUUGAACUGGGUAACUAGAGUGUGUCAGAGGGGGGUAGAAUUCCACGUAUAGCAGUGAAAUGCGUAGAGAUGUGGAGGAAUACCGAUGGCGAAGGCAGCCCCCUGGGAUAACACUGACGUUCAUGCUCGAAAGCGUGGGUAGCAAACAGG
rnacentral:rRNA from 1 species